CCUCCCGUCGCCGUUCGCGCUGCCCUUCUCUCUUCUCCAUACUACAGAGGAGAAGGAGCCUAGGGCUGCAGAUGUCGGGGCGCUGAGAACCACCGUCGAUGGUGGCGAGGCAGAGCCGCACAUUCACGCCAGCCGAGCACUCUCUCUCGGCAUCGUUCAUCCUCCGCUGCACCGACCAGCAUAAGCCCAUCUUGCCAUGAUAGAGAGGGAGAUGGAUAGAGGACGGGGAGCCAUGAGCAAGAGGAGAAGAGGAGAUCGAACCACCCCAUCCUCUUUUCCUUCCAGCGGAAGUCAUUGCCGCUGUUUCUUCGAUCCGAUGGUAUUAGUGCCUCUUCUUCACUAGGCAAUGUUUUUAUCCUUUAGAAUCUGAUGGAAUUUUGAUUCUUUUGUUUUGAAUUGAAUGUGUUAUUUGUAAAUUUGCAAGAAAUAAUUAGUCAAUAUGUUUAAACCU